rnacentral:lncRNA from 1 species
CGAGGAAUAUGCUGGAUCUUCCACUGUUUUAGAGCUGUGAGAGCGGAAUGAAUUCUUCUGAAAAUUGUAGAAUUAGAAGUCCCUGCGAAACCUUCUUGAAUAGCAUUAACCGCUUCAAGACUAUCAGUUUGAAUAAGGACCUUUUCGAAACUUCUAUCCAAAAUGAGAUUUAGGCCAUCCAAUAUCCCCCAAAGCUCAGCCUCGACCACCAUACAAUUACCCAAAUAUCUGCAGUAGCCUAUGAUUCACCCACCAUUAUGAUCACACACAAAACCCCCAG